UUGGCAACACCUUGACAGACACACCCAGA
rnacentral:piRNA from 1 species